rnacentral:lncRNA from 1 species
AUGGGAAAAUCUCUCUCUGCACCACAGAAAAAUUUUUUUAAAGACCUUAAAUUCCUUUUGGCCAGUAACAACCUUGCUGUUCGGAAAGCUGACCUUAAGUCCCUUAUAAAAGCCCUGGACACUCACUGCCCCUGGUUCCCCCAGGACGGAAAUUGGGAGUUAGACGAUUGGAAAAAAAUUGGACACUUCUUUCAAAAUCAUCCUCAGAUUGAUGUCAAGGUUUUGCACGCCUGGAGUAACGUCUACAAAGCUAUGUCGUGCUUAACUCCUUCAAACAUUCUUCUGGCUGCCGCAACAGCUUCUUCGCCCGCCCUCCCAGCUCCCGCUUUGCCUGCCUCAAACCUACCUCCUAAACCGCCGGACAUUCUCCCUCCGGCUUCUCCCAUCACUCCCCUGCAUUCUUCAAAUUCUGCAGCACCCCCCGUUCUUCCACCUCCUGCGCCCAAGGCCUCUGGCACCGCUUCUACUACUCCUCUCCAAGAAUCUCUCCGUGCCGCUGCCCCAUUGUUGGGUUUUGAUUCUACAACUCCUACUCUCUUCCCUGUGAUUGCUCCUGCCGCGCCAGGGGGAGGCCCAGCCCGGCACGACCAGUUUGAUUUGAGAUUCAUAAAGGAACUGUAUUCUUCUGUCAAGGACAAUGGCCCUGCACCCCCAGCCCCCGUCAUGCUGACCCACACUGAUGUUCUUGAUGGCUUAACUGGCGAAGGCAAUUUUCUUACUAUUGCCCAACAGUUGGCCCUUGAUCCCAUGUAUUGGACAGCUACUACUGCUGCCGCCCAAGAAGCUUUGUCCUCUGUUCCUGAUGACAAGAAUGAGCGCGGUGGCAGCAUCAGACAGGGUCCUACAAAGCCCUAUGGACAAUUUGUCGAUCGCUUGGAUAACACUCUUAAGCUGCAAGUUCAGGACGUAGCAGCCCAAGAACUGAUUGUCCGCCAGCUUGCUUUGAUGACAACACCAAAUAUAGUCAUUGCAGAUGUGCUUAAAGCCUGCCAGUCAGUGGGCACUGAGAUGCACAAAGCUCGCCUGCUAGCCACGGCUUUGUCCUCCACCGUGCCCCAGAAUCCUGCAAAGGAUAAAACCUGCUUUGGAUGUAGCAAAGUGGACUAUUUUCGUGCGCAGUGCAGAUCUACCGCACAACAACGUCACUCCAGCACAAAGUGCCCCAUCUUUGAUACAGGCCAGGACUUGUCAAUUUUAUGA